rnacentral:rRNA from 1 species
UACGGGGGGGGUAAGCGUUGUUCGGAAUUACUGGGCGUAAAGGGCUCGUAGGCGGCCAACUAAGUCAUACGUGAAAUCCCUCAGCUCAACCGGGGAACUGCGUGUGAUACUGGCGGGCUUGAAUCCGGGAGAGGAAUGCGGAAUUCCAGGUGUAGCGGUGAAAUGCGUAGAUAUCUGGAGGAACACCGGUGGCGAAGGCGGCAUUCUGGACCGGCAUUGACGCUGAGGCGCGAAAGCCAGGGGAGCAAACGGG